AUUAUUUCCUGGCUUUUUUCUGUGAAGAACCCAGACAGGGUUAUUUGGUUAUUAUCUAUUUAAUUAAUUGUGUUAUUAUUAUUCAUUAUUAUAUGAUAUUAUAUUAUGUUAUAAUUAUUUUUAUUUUAUUUUGUUCCAAGAAGAAUUCAGAAAGGGUUAUUUAAUUAUGGCUUUCUGAAAAACAAUAAUUUUUUUACAUUUAGGCACUGCUGCAAUCGUCACACUUUUUCUGUUACAAACUGACCCGGCCCCUCAUCAGAGAAGGGAAAAGUCAUGUGGCCUUCACAGGAAAAGGUUUGGGGACCCCUGCUUUAGAGUGUUUGUCAUCUGCCCUUCCAUUUGCUUUUCUUCAUGUGCAGUGCUCCCCCUCCAUGUUUGAUCAAACUGCACUGAUAAUUUGAAAUUGUUUUAAAAUGCAUUAAUCGCAAAAAUCAGAGGACUAGAUCACAUUUCCCCCUGUUAUUUCACCACUUUAACUUUGGUCUAACCUAAUAUAGGAAUACAGAUAGAAAGAGUGCAGAGAUCACACUCGACGCCAUAACAACCUGGUGUGUUUAAGGCUGAAGCAAAUGGUCAAAAGUCCACACAUACCUCAGUCUCAGCAAUUACAGGUCAACCAAAGCAGUAUUCUCUAAUGCAGUGGACUUGCAAGUACUGCACAUUUUCUGCUGAAAAGAGCCUACUUGCUUAAGCAUUACCGCUUAAAACAUGGAUACCACACUCGGACAUCCCUACUCCCAUGUCUUCAUAAGGACUGCCUCUGCACAUUUAAAUCUUUUAAUGCACUCAAAGUACACCUAUCGACAUGGCACUCUCAAAAAGAUGCAGGCAAAAGUGGAGAAACUGCAUUUGACCGUCAGUUGUGCAACUUUGUGGAGCCCUGCUCAGAAGCAGACUUCUUUACCCAUUUGCGAGGACAUCUUAAGCUGAGGCAAAUGGUUACUUGCCCAUAUCAAGACUAACUUUCAGAGCAGUAUUUAUUCGACCUUCACUGCACACAAAAGCAAAGAAAUGUGAAAUGUGUUUGAGCCAUAGUGUGGGUAGGACAUUUGUGUCUAAAUCAU